AGUGAACGCUGGCGGCAUGCCUAACACAUGCAAGUCGAACGGCAGCACAGUAAGUGCUUGCUCUUACGUGUGGCGAGUGUCGGACGGUUGAGUUAUACUUCGGAAUCUACUUUUUCGUGGGGGCUAACGUAGGGUAACUUACGCUAAUCCCGCAUACGACCUACUUGUGAAAGCAGGGGAUCUUCGGACCUUGCGCUAUUGAAUGAGCCUAUGUCGGAUUAGCUAGUUGGCGGGGUAAAGGCCCACCACGGCGACGAUCCGUAACUGGUCUGAGAGGAUGAUCAGACAGACGGGAAGUGAGACACGGUACAGACGCCGAGGGGGGGACGCGGUGGGGAAUAUUAGGCAAUGGGCGAAAGCCUGAUACAGCAAUACCGCGUAGAGGAAGAAGGAGUUCGGGUUGUAAAGCCCUUUUGUUGGGAAAGAAAAGCAGCAGGUUAAUACCCCGCUGUAAUGACGGUACCCAAAGAAUAAGCACCGGCUAACUUCGUG
rnacentral:rRNA from 1 species